rnacentral:rRNA from 1 species
UACGAGGGGGGCGAGCGUUGUUCGGAAUUAUUGGGCGUAAAGGGUGCGUAGGCGGUUUGGUAAGUCUUGUGUGAAAUCUCCAGGCUCAACUUGGAGUCUGCACGAGAAACUGCCGGGCUUGAGUGUGGGAGAGGUGAGUGGAAUUCCUGGUGUAGCGGUGAAAAUGCUAGAUAUCAGGAGGAACACCUGUGGCGAAAGCGGCUCACUGGACCACAACUGACGCUGAUGCACGAAAGCUAGGGGAGCAAACAGG